rnacentral:rRNA from 1 species
AUUGAACGCUGGCGGCAGGCCUAACACAUUCAAGUCGCACGAGUGGCGGACGGGUGAGUAAUGUCUGGGACACUGCCUGAUGGAGGGGGAUAACUACUGGAAACGGUAGCUAAUACCGCAUACCAUCAGCUGUGCCCCGAUGGGAAUAGCUUGUUGGUGUGGUAACGGCCCACCAAGGCGACGAUCCCUAGCUGGUGUGAGAGGAUGACCAGCAACACGGGAAUGGAUACACGGUCCAGACUCGGACGGGAGGGAGCAGUGGGGAGUAUGGCACAAUGGGCGCAAGCCUGAUGCAGCCAUGGCGCGUGGAUGACGAAGGCCUUCGGGGUGUAAAGUAGUUGCAGCGGGGAGGCGUUACCCGCAGAAGAAGCACCGGCUAACUCCGUGCCAGCCGCCGCGGUAAUAC